ACCUCAGAUCAGACGAGGAUACCCGCUGAACUUAAGCAUAUCAAUAAGCGGAGGAAAAGAAACCAACAGGGAUUGCCUCAGUAGCGGCGAGUGAAGCGGCAAAAGCUCAGAUUUGAAAUCAGGUGUGUUUUUCGCGCCCGAGUUGUAAUCUGGAGAGGAUGCUCCGGCGAAGCCGGCCGCCCAAGUUCCUUGGAACAGGACGUCUUAGAGGGUGAGAACCCCGUACCCGGCGGCAUGGUCAGCCAUGUGGAGCUCCCUCGACGAGUCGAGUUGUUUGGGAAUGCAGCUCAAACUGGGUGGUAAAUUCCAUCUAAAGCUAAAUAUUGGCGGGAGACCGAUAGCGCACAAGUAGAGUGAUCGAAAGAUGAAAAGCACUUUGAAAAGAGAGUUAAAAAGUACGUGAAAUUGUUGAAAGGGAAGCGCUUGCCAUCAGAACGGGCGCCGGUCGAUCAACGUUCCUUCUGGUUCGUGCACUCGGCCGGCCGCCCUGCCAGCAUCGGUCGCCGCGGCGGGAGAAAGGCGGCGGGAAAGUGGCUCCCCUCGGGGAGUGUUAUAGCCCGCCGUGCCAUACCGCCAGCCGGCGACCGAGGACCGCGCUUCGUGCAAGGAUGCUGGCUUAAUGGUUGU
rnacentral:rRNA from 1 species